GGCCCUGGCGAGCCACGCUGCAGAAGUGCGGGCAGUUGGCUGUCAGACCUCGCUGAAGGCUGGGGCAUGGCGGUGAGCCACCUGGAGCCUGGCAGAGGGCGCCGGAGGGGCGUGCUUCACUCGAGACUCCGGGAAGCUUCACUGAAAUGCAAACCCAGGGCAGCCAACGCUGAGGUAACACAGGAACCACCAGACAGUCCCUGCCCUCUCUUCCCAGCCAUCCUCGAGAAACCUGUCUGGAAGAUGAGAUCUGAUUACAUCUUGCUGUCUAGAAUGUCACUCUGCCUGUAGGAAAGAGAAGUGCAAGCUCAUUCCUGUUGCUGCUGUUCACCUGUAGAGGUGGCAUGGCUGGCUCUGCCUGUACACAGUAUUUCAUGGCAUUCUUACCUAGUCUAAGGAGCCCAAACCCAUGCUUGGGGUGCUGCUUAUUAGCAAAAAUACACAAUGCAUACACCAUAAGCAUUAUUUUAUGUCAAACCUCAAACUAUGUACACAUUAACCAGACAUUUUCCUUGUUUAAACAGAAUUGUAGUCAGGAAACUGCAACCAGGUACCUACUUGAGCAGGCUAGCAAUAAGCUAGCAGAGGACGAACUGUAUUGCCAGAGGGCUUUGCUCAUUCGGAAUAGUCUCUUUGCAGUUCAAUCACACCUGCAUGAGCAGCAUAUUUCUGUAUUUAGCCACCACUAAUUCUUUGUGAACUGAACUCUGAUUAAAUUUUGUCAUCCCUGCUGUCAAA